UACGAAGGGGGCUAGCGUUGCUCGGAAUUACUGGGCGUAAAGCGUGCGCAGGCGGUUUUGUAAGCCAGGUGUGAAAUCCCCGGGCUCAACCUGGGAAUGGCAUUUGGGACUGCAAGGCUGGAGUGCGGCAGAGGAGACUGGAAUUCCUGGUGUAGCAGUGAAAUGCGUAGAUAUCAGGAGGAAUACCGAUGGCGAAGGCAGGUCUCUGGGCUGACACUGACGCUCAUGCACGAAAGCGUGGGGAGCAAACAGG
rnacentral:rRNA from 1 species